rnacentral:rRNA from 1 species
AUGAACGCUGGCGGCGUGCCUAAUACAUGCAAGUCGAGCGAAUGGAUUAAGAGCUUGCUCUUAUGAAGUUAGCGGCGGACGGGUGAGUAACACGUGGGUAACCUACCCAUAAGACUGGGAUAACUCCGGGAAACCGGGGCUAAUACCGGAUAAUAUUUUGAACUGCAUAGUUCGAAAUUGAAAGGCGGCUUCGGCUGUCACUUAUGGAUGGACCCGCGUCGCAUUAGCUAGUUGGUGAGGUAACGGCUCACCAAGGCGACGAUGCGUAGCCGACCUGAGRGGGUGAUCGGCCACACUGGGACUGAGACACGGCCCAGACUCCUACGGGAGGCAGCAGUAGGGAAUCUUCCGCAAUGGACGAAAGUCUGACGGAGCAACGCCGCGUGAGUGAUGAAGGCUUUCGGGUCGUAAAACUCUGUUGUUAGGGAAGAACAAGUGCUAGUUGAAUAAGCUGGCACCUUGACGGUACCUAACCAGAAAGCCACGGCUAACUACGU